rnacentral:rRNA from 1 species
GUUGGUUCUACCCGAAGGCGUUGCGCCGACCGCAAGGAGGCAGGCGACCACGGUAGUGUCAGCGACUGGGGUGAAGUCGUAACAAGGUAGCCGUAGGUGAACCUGCAGAAGGAUCA